AACGAACGCUGGCGGCGCGCCUAACACAUGCAAGUCGAACGAGAAUCCGGGGCAACCCGGUAGUAAAGUGGCAAACGGGUGAGGAAUACAUGGGUAACCUACCCUUGAGAAGGGAAUAACCCGCCGAAAAGGUGAGCUAAAUACCCCUAUACGCUAUCUUUUUUUCGAAAAGGAUAGGAAAGCCGGGUCGAGGACCUGGUACUCAAGGAGGGGCUCAUGUCCUAUCAGCUUGUUGGUGGGGUAACGGCCUACCAAGGCUACGACGGGUAGCUGGUCUGAGAGGAUGAUCAGCCACACUGGCACUGAGAUACGGGCCAGACUCCUACGGGAGCAGCAGUGAGGAAUAUUGCGCAAAUGGGGCGAAANCCUGACACAGCGACGCCGCGUGGGGGAUGAAGGUUUUCGGAUUGUAAACCCCUUUCAUGAGGAAAAGAUAAAAGUGGGUAACCACUUAGACGGUAACCCUCAAGAAAGAAGCCACGG
rnacentral:rRNA from 1 species